CUCGGGACCGGGAUAGCUGCGGGAAACUGCAGGUAAUACCGGAUGAUGUUCCCGAACCAAAGGUGUGAGUCCGCCAGAGGAUGGGUCUAUAUCCUAUUAGCUAGUUGGUGAGGUAAUGGCUCACCAAGGCCAAGAUGGGUAGCGGGUGUGAGAGCACGACCCGCGUCAUUGGGGCUGAGACACUGCCCAGACACCUACGGGUGGCUGCAGUCGAGAAUCUUCGGCAAUGGGCGCAAGCCUGACCGAGCGACGCCGCGUGUGGGAUGAAGGCCUUCGGGUUGUAAACCACUGUCAGUGGGGAGGAAGGCUCCGUGAAGAACGGAGUUUGACCUAUCCGCAGAGGAAGCAUGGGCUAAGUUCGUGCCAGCAGCCGCGGUAAGACGAACCAUGCAAACGUUAUUCGGAAUCACUGGGCUUAAAGGGUGCGUAGGCGGUGCGGAAAGUUGGGUGUGAAAUCCCUCAGCUUAACUGAGGAACUGCGCUCAAAACUACCGCGCUAGAGGGAGAUAGAGGUAAGCGGAACUUAGGGUGGAGCGGUGAAAUGCGUUGAUAUCCUAAGGAACACCGGUGGCGAAAGCGGCUUACUGGAUCUUUUCUGACGCUGAGGCACGAAAGCUAGGGGAGCAAACGGGAUUAGAUACCCCGGUAGUCCUAGCCGUAAACGAUGAGUACUGGAUUGGAGGGUCCUCCAUAGCCCUCCAGUCGAAGAGAAAUUGUUAAGUACUCC
rnacentral:rRNA from 1 species